CACCGCGGUUAUACGAGAGGCCCAAGCUGAUAGACUACGGCGUAAAGAGUGGUUAAGAUAAAACAUACACUAAAGUCGAACGCCUUCAAAGCUGUUAUACGCUUACGAAGCUAGCAGAAGCCCAACUACGAAAGUGACUUUAAACCCCCUGACUCCACGAAAGCUAGGAAA
rnacentral:rRNA from 1 species